rnacentral:rRNA from 1 species
CACGCAGGCGGUCAGCCAAGUUCGGAGUGACAGUUUCCGGCUUAACUGGGAAAGGUCUUCGAAAACUGGCUGACUUGAGGACUUGAGGGGGAGACGGAAUUCCGGGUGGAGCGGUGAAAUGCGUAGAGAUCCGGAGGAACACCGAAGGCGAAGGCAGUCUCCUGGCAAGUUACUGACGCUCAGGUGCGAAAGCUAGGGGAGCGAACA